rnacentral:rRNA from 1 species
CACCGCGGUUAUACGAGAGACUCAAAUUGAUAGCCAUCGGCGUAAAGCGUGAUCAAGAUGUUAUAGCACUAAAGCCGAACGCUUUCAAAACUGUUAUACGUAUUCGAAAGCAUGAAGCCCAACUACGAAAGUGGCUUUAACUUAACCUGACCUCACGAAAGCUAUGAAA